rnacentral:rRNA from 1 species
CGAUGAGUAGGGCGGGACACGUGGUAUCCUGUCUGAAUAUGGGGGGCCCAUCCUCCAAGGCUAAAUACUCCUGACUGACCGAUAGUGAACCAGUACCGUGAGGGAAAGGCGAAAAGAACCCCGGCGAGGGGAGUGAAAAAGAACCUGAAACCGUGUACGUACAAGCAGUGGGAGCACGCUUAGGCGUGUGACUGCGUACCUUUUGUAUAAUGGGUCAGCGACUUAUAUUCUGUAGCAAGGUUAACCGAAUAGGGGAGCCGAAGGGAAACCGAGUCUUAACUGGGCGUUAAGUUGCAGGGUAUAGACCCGAAACCCGGUGAUCUAGCCAUGGGCAGGUUGAAGGUUGGGUAACACUAACUGGAGGACCGAACCGACUAAUGUUGAAAAAUUAGCGGAUGACUUGUGGCUGGGGGUGAAAGGCCAAUCAAACCGGGAGAUAGCUGGUUCUCCCCGAAAGCUAUUUAGGUAGCGCCUCGUGAAUUCAUCUCCGGGGGUAGAGCACUGUUUCGGCAAGGGGGUCAUCCCGACUUACCAACCCGAUGCAAACUGCGAAUACCGGAGAAUGUUAUCACGGGAGACACACGGCGGGUGCUAACGUCCGUCGUGAAGAGGGAAACAACCCAGACCGCCAGCUAAGGUCCCAAAGUCAUGGUUAAGUGGGAAACGAUGUGGGAAGGCCCAGACAGCCAGGAUGUUGGCUUAGAAGCAGCCAUCAUUUAAAGAAAGCGUAAUAGCUCACUGGUCGAGUCGGCCUGCGCGGAAGAUGUAACGGGGCUAAACCAUGCACCGAAGCUGCGGCAGCGACGCUUAUGCGUUGUUGGGUAGGGGAGCGUUCUGUAAGCCUGCGAAGGUGUGCUGUGAGGCAUGCUGGAGGUAUCAGAAGUGCGAAUGCUGACAUAAGUAACGAUAAAGCGGGUGAAAAGCCCGCUCGCCGGAAGACCAAGGGUUCCUGUCCAACGUUAAUCGGGGCAGGGUGAGUCGACCCCUAAGGCGAGGCCGAAAGGCGUAGUCGAUGGGAAACAGGUUAAUAUUCCUGUACUUGGUGUUACUGCGAAGGGGGGACGGAGAAGGCUAUGUUGGCCGGGCGACGGUUGUCCCGGUUUAAGCGUGUAGGCUGGUUUUCCAGGCAAAUCCGGAAAAUCAAGGCUGAGGCGUGAUGACGAGGCACUACGGUGCUGAAGCAACAAAUGCCCUGCUUCCAGGAAAAGCCUCUAAGCAUCAGGUAACAUCAAAUCGUACCCCAAACCGACACAGGUGGUCAGGUAGAGAAUACCAAGGCGCUUGAGAGAACUCGGGUGAAGGAACUAGGCAAAAUGGUGCCGUAACUUCGGGAGAAGGCACGCUGAUAUGUAGGUGAAGUCCCUUGCGGAUGGAGCUGAAAUCAGUCGAAGAUACCAGCUGGCUGCAACUGUUUAUUAAAAACACAGCACUGUGCAAACACGAAAGUGGACGUAUACGGUGUGACGCCUGCCCGGUGCCGGAAGGUUAAUUGAUGGGGUCAGCGCAAGCGAAGCUCUUGAUCGAAGCCCCGGUAAACGGCGGCCGUAACUAUAACGGUCCUAAGGUAGCGAAAUUCCUUGUCGGGUAAGUUCCGACCUGCACGAAUGGCGUAAUGAUGGCCAGGCUGUCUCCACCCGAGACUCAGUGAAAUUGAACUCGCUGUGAAGAUGCAGUGUACCCGCGGCAAGACGGAAAGACCCCGUGAACCUUUACUAUAGCUUGACACUGAACAUUGAGCCUUGAUGUGUAGGAUAGGUGGGAGGCUUUGAAGUGUGGACGCCAGUCUGCAUGGAGCCGGCCUUGAAAUACCACCCUUUAAUGUUUGAUGUUCUAACGUGGACCCGUGAUCCGGGUUGCGGACAGUGUCUGGUGGGUAGUUUGACUGGGGCGGUCUCCUCCUAAAGAGUAACGGAGGAGCACGAAGGUUGGCUAAUCCUGGUCGGACAUCAGGAGGUUAGUGCAAUGGCAUAAGCCAGCUUGACUGCGAGCGUGACGGCGCGAGCAGGUGCGAAAGCAGGUCAUAGUGAUCCGGUGGUUCUGAAUGGAAGGGCCAUCGCUCAACGGAUAAAAGGUACUCCGGGGAUAACAGGCUGAUACCGCCCAAGAGUUCAUAUCGACGGCGGUGUUUGGCACCUCGAUGUCGGCUCAUCACAUCCUGGGGCUGAAGUAGGUCCCAAGGGUAUGGCUGUUCGCCAUUUAAAGUGGUACGCGAGCUGGGUUUAGAACGUCGUGAGACAGUUCGGUCCCUAUCUGCCGUGGGCGCUGGAGAACUGAGGGGGGCUGCUCCUAGUACGAGAGGACCGGAGUGGACGCAUCACUGGUGUUCGGGUUGUCAUGCCAAUGGCACUGCCCGGUAGCUAAAUGCGGAAGAGAUAAGUGCUGAAAGCAUCUAAGCACGAAACUUGCCCCGAGAUGAGUUCUCCCUGACCCUUUAAGGGUCCUGAAGGAACGUUGAAGACGACGACGUUGAUAGGCCGGGUGUGUAAGCGCAGCGAUGCGUUGAGCUAACCGGUACUAAUGAACCGUGAGG